rnacentral:RNase_P_RNA from 1 species
CAUAUCAGCUGAUAGCUAUGUUAUUAAUUUAAUGUAGAGGAAAGUCCGUGCUAGCACCAACUGAGAUGUUGGUAGUGUUUGUGUUAAACCUAAUAAGUUUAAGCUUAGACGACUAGUCGCACAGAGACGAGUAAAGUGAAACGCGGUAAACUCCACAAGCUAGAAACCCAAAUUUGGUAGGGGAACCAAAACGCGAGAAAUGAAUUAAGUUUUGGAACAUUUUCAAUGUUAGAUAAAUUAUCAGCACCUAUUUUAGGAACAGAACACGAGCUUAUGAU